CGCCGUUUCUCUCCUGUCGUGUCCACCUUAUAUAUCUCGCUCUCUUCCUCGUUACCAUUUCUCCCUCUAUCUCUCUCUCAUCAACCCGAGCCCAGCCCUAGUCGGAACAUCGGUAUAUAAUCCCAAAUCCCUAUUUUUGUAUCUUCGAUUGGAGCAAAAAGAUAGCACGAUUGGGAAUCAGAUGGAUGUAAGUGUUCUCAGAGUUCCUGAAGGAAUCAGGUUUAUCUCUUUUUUUUUUUUUUUUUUCGCUUGCUUGAUCUCAAAUCCUAAAUCCCUAGCUUUUGGAUCUUAGAUUUCCUGACCGAAUAAGGUUUUUCUUUUUUUUUUUUUUUUUUUUUGGCUUGCUUGAUCUCAAAUCCCAAAUCCCUAGCUUUUGGAUCUUAGAUUUCCUGACGGAAGCAGGUUUAUAUUUAUAUAUUUAUAUUUUUUGUUAGUCUUUAUUUAAUGCUAUGUUUCCUUUGUUGAAUCGGAUUUCUACAGGGGUCGUUGAAAAUCCUUAUUGCUAUAUUCUCCCCAACCCCAUAUUAAAUUAGAGCAAAAACAAAACUUAAAUCAGGUCGAUGGAAGCAAUCUCAGCGGACAAGGUUCCUGAAGAAAUCACACCCAAAAAAAGAAAAAUUAAAAUUAGAUGUAGGCAAGCAAUGCCGGCGGACAACAGCGUUAAUAUUCCUGAAGAAAUACUUCACAACAUCCUGCUGUUGUUGCCCAUCAAAUAUCUACUCAAAUACACCGCAGUGUGCCAGUCAUGGAGGUCUCUAAUCCAAAGCUCUGCCUUCAUCCAUACACACCUCAGCCGCGCAAUCAUCCAAUCAAACAACCAAAAUGACGACGCUCAUCUCUUGCUGCUACAGUCUUCCAACAGGGAAGAGAGAAAAAGAUCUUACUCGUUGCAUUGGGAUCGAUGCCCUUCAUUCAGUGAGUACUCCAAGCUUACAGAUCCAUUCGUAGCUUACAAUGAAAUUAGUGGACGUCAAGAAGACAAUAAUCAAACAACAAAAAUGGGUAACAGAAACUGCAAGAUCAAUGUGCUAGGGACUUGUAACGGGCUGGUUUGCCUCCAGGAAGGUGACAUUGCGACUUUAAUUUGGAACCCCAGUAUUAGAAAGUUUGUGGUUUUGCCUCCCCCGGGUGUUACCUUCCUGGGGUUUAAAAGCCACGCAUUUGGCUAUGAUCCGCGUACCAAUGACUAUAAGGUUUUCAGAAGUGUUAGUUAUUAUAAGCCUUCCCGCUUGUCCCGUGCAGUUGAGAUUUUUUCCUUAGCCAAGGGCUCCUGGAAGAGGCUUCAUAAUGCUGUUGUUCCUGCAAACUUCUCGCCUGGAAACUUUACUAGUAAUGAUAAACCCGAUGCUCUUGUUAAUGGUGCUUUGCAUUGGAUUCAGACAGAGGGGGACGACAAGUUCAUUGUGUCCUUUGAUUUGUCCACUGAAUUAUUUGGCAAGAUCCUGAUGCCCAAAUCAGCUUUGAGAAGGAGGACUAAGAAGUGGACACGCGAAGCUCCCGUGGUAAAAAAUGUUUGCUAUGCUUCAAGAUACGGGGGCCGCCUUGCCUUUUUUGAGAAACAUCAAAAUAUGCUAUUAACUGGUGAUGUUCAUUUUUACUUGUGGGUGAUGAAAGACUAUGGUGUUGCAGAAUCCUGGUCUAAAUUAUUCACUAUAUCUACUCAACAAAUUGUGCUCAGGCCACUUUGUUUCAGAAAGAGUGGCCAAGUAGUGCUUGCGUAUCUUUCGGAUGACAAGUGUUAUGAAUUGGUAGACCCUCACAACAAACAAUGUGAUGAUUUUCGAAUUGAUGGGUACUGCCCCAGGACAAGCCUCUACUGCUUCGUGGAUUAUUUUGUAGAGAGCAUUGUCUUACUCGAUCGACCCGAUGCUAUUUCAUACUAGAAAGGUUGGAUUGGUUCGAAUUAGCAUUAUCUGGGCAUCAUUUUUUCUUACUGUUUUGUUUCUUUGGAAUAAUUUUCUAUGUUCGUGCAUGUUUUUUCUUUUUCUCUUCUUUUCUUUGUAAAUUUUGCCUCUUGUAGUAUUAUUUGAAAUAUGCUUCGUUCUUCAUUGGUAGUCUGAGAGAAGUGAAAUAAAAACAUAUUUGAGAUAGAAAACUAAAGAUAGCCAUAGCCAUCUUAUAAAGAUAACAGCAUCAGCUAGCUUUCCUGGAAACAUGAUUUACUUCUCAAUUUUUGACAUCACAAAUGAAGAAAUGAACCUUAAAAAAAAACAACAAAAAAAAAACCUCUAACCUUUUCAUGAUGUGAGUAGAUGAGGAUUCUUGCUCCGCGAAACAUGGGAGGGGAGGAAAGAAGAGCAACUGCUAAGAGGAACGAAGCAACUGCUAAGAGAAACUGAUAAGAAGAGUAACUGGUCCGGUGUGGGCUCUGCACCUUUUUUUCUUUUCUUUUUAAUUUUUUUUUUAAGUUCUGCGUAAUUGUUCUUUUACAAUUAUACCCUGCUAAACAUUGAAGUGAAUAGCUUACACUCCAUAACGCCAUACCAAUGAUAUCCCAUUUUUCAUUUUGCGAGUAAAAACUCCUCAUAAGAAUACCAGGUCCAUGAAGACAUCUGACUAUGACUGACCACUGCCCUUGCUAAUCUAUGUAUCACAAACUCCUCAUAAGAAUACCAGGAAAGGGAUACCGUGAUAUCCAUCAUGCACUAAUUUCUUUGCUUGCCUGAUUAUAUAUUCUAUAUAAUCUAUAUAUAUAGAAAUUCUAUGAACGGUUUCACCUUCUAUAUUUUUAGUGGUGGUUUUAUCUCUACAUUUAUUUUAUUCAUUGUAUGGUGUAGAUUCAUUACCUAUACAAUUUAUUUCCUGUAUUAUGUAGGUUUAUUACCCAUACGAUAGUAUUUAUUUAAAAGUGUGACGCGGGUUUAUGGUCCAUACAACUGCCUUUACUUUUAUUUAAAAGUAUGGAGUAGAAUUAGUGCACAUACAAGCACAUUUAAUUUAUUGCGCAUUUACUUUAUUAUUUAAAGUAUGGUGUGGAAUUAACAUUCAUACAGUAAGCAAUUUAUCGUACAUUUAUUAUUAUUUAAGGUAUGGUGCAGGAUUAAAGUCCAUACAGGAGGCAAUUUAAUUUAUGAAUUUACUUUAUCGCACAUUUACAUUUAUUUAAAGUAUGGUGCGAGAUUAUCGUCCAUACAUCAAUUUACUUACAAGCAAUUUAAUUUAUAAAUUUAUUUUACCUCACAUUUACAUUUAUUUAAAGUAUGAUGCGGGUUU
rnacentral:lncRNA from 1 species